GACGUAGGGCGCGAGCGUUGUCCGGAUUUAUUGGGCGUAAAGAGCUCGUAGGCGGCUCAUUGCGUCAACCGUGAAAACCAGCAGCUCAACUGUUGGCUUGCGGUUGAUACGGGUGGGCUGGAGUUCGGUAGGGGAGACUGGAAUUCCUGGUGUAGCGGUGAAAUGCGCAGAUAUCAGGAGGAACACCGGUGGCGAAGGCGGGUCUCUGGGCCGAUACUGACGCUGAGGAGCGAAAGCGUGGGGAGCGAACAGGAUUAGAAACCCCCGUAGUCC
rnacentral:rRNA from 1 species